rnacentral:tRNA from 1 species
GCCUGGGUGGCUCAGUCAGUUAAGCGGCUGACUUCAGCUCAGGUCAUGAUCUCGCAGUCUGUGAGUUCGAGCCCCACCUCGGGCU